GAUUAAGCCAUGCAUGUGUAAGUAUAAAUAAUUAUAUAGUGAAACUGCGAAUGGCUCAUUAUAUCAGUUAUAGUUUAUUUGAUAAUUAAUUUGAAAUUUCUUUUUUGAAAUUUUAAUACUAAUUGGAUAACCGUAGUAAUUCUAGAGCUAAUACAUGAAUUAAAAUCCUAACUUUUAUAGAAAGGAUGUAUUUAUUAGAUGAUAAAACCAAUAUAAUUAAUAAGGUGAAUCAUAAUAAUUAAUCGAAUCGUAUGGUUGUAAAAUACUAACGAUAAAUCAUUCAAGUUUCUGCCCUAUCAGCUUUCGAUGGUAGUGUAUUGGACUACCAUG
rnacentral:rRNA from 1 species